CCUACGGGAGGCCGUAGUGGGGAAUAUUGGACAAUGGGGGAAACCCUGAUCCAGCGACGCCGCGUGAGUGAAGCAGUAUUUCGGUACGUAAAGCUCUAUCAGCAGGAAAGAAAAUGACGGCACCUGACUAAGAAGCCCCGUCUAACUACGUGCCAGCAGCCGCGGUUAUACGUAGGCGGCCACCGUUAUCCGGAUUUACUGGGUGUAAAGGGAGCGUAGACGGCAGGUUAAGUCUGGAGUGAAAUGCUGGGGCCCAACCACGGAACUGCACUGGAAACGGGGAAGCUGGAGUGCAGGAGAGGGAAGCGGAAUUCCUGGUGUAGCGGUGAAAUGCGUAGAUAUCACGAAGAACACCGGCGGCGAAGGCAGCUUACUGGACUGUAACUGACGUUGAGGCUCGAAGGCGUGGGGAUCAAACAGGAUUAGAUACCCUUGUAGUC
rnacentral:rRNA from 1 species